rnacentral:misc_RNA from 1 species
GAAAUGCGAUAAGUAAUGUGAAUUGCAGAAUUCAGUGAAUCAUCGAAUCUUUGAACGCACAUUGCGCCCCUUGGUAUUCCGAGGGGCAUGCCUGUUCGAGCGUCAUUACACCACUCAAGCUAUGCUUGGUAUUGGGCGUCGUCCUUAGUUGGGCGCGCCUUAAAGACCUCGGCGAGGCCUCACCGGCUUUAGGCGUAGUAGAAUUUAUUCAAUUAACGUCUGUCAAUGGAGAGGACUUCUGCCGACUGAAACCUUUAUUUUUUACAGGUUGACCUCGGAUCAGGUAGGGAUACCCGCUGAACUUAA